rnacentral:rRNA from 1 species
AGAACGAACGCUGGCGGCAUGCCUAAUACAUGCAAGUCGAACGAACACUUCGGUGUUAGUGGCGCACGGGUGCGUAACGCGUGGGAAUCUGCCCUUGGGUUCGGAAUAACAGUUGGAAACGACUGCUAAUACCGGAUGAUAUCGAAAGAUCAAAGAUUUAUCGCCCAGGGAUGAGCCCGCGUAGGAUUAGCUAGUUGGUGAGGUAAAGGCUCACCAAGGCGACGAUCCUUAGCUGGUCUGAGAGGAUGAUCAGCCACACUGGGACUGAGACACGGCCCAGACUCCUACGGGAGGCAGCAGUAGGGAAUAUUGGACAAGUGGGCNCAAGCCUG